UGGGGAAUAUUGGACAAUGGGCGAAAGCCUGAUCCAGCCAUGCCACGUGUGUGAAGAAGGUCUUCGGAUUGUAAAGCACUUUAAGUUGGGAGGAAGGGCAGUAAGCGAAUACCUUGCUGUUUUGACGUUACCGACAGAAUAAGCACCGGCUAACUCUGUGCCAGCAGCCGCGGUAAUACAGAGGGUGCAAGCGUUAAUCGGAAUUACUGGGCGUAAAGCGCGCGUAGGUGGUUCGUUAAGUUGAAUGUGAAAGCCCCGGGCUCAACCUGGGAACUGCAUCCAAAACUGGCGAGCUAGAGUAGGGCAGAGGGUGGUGGAAUUUCCUGUGUAGCGGUGAAAUGCGUAGAUAUAGGAAGGAACACCAGUGGCGAAGGCGACCACCUGGGCUCAUACUGACACUGAGGUGCGAAAGCGUGGGGAGCAAACAGG
rnacentral:rRNA from 1 species